CGGGUGCUGGAGGUCGGGCAUGCCCAUGAAACACCCACUGCGAAAUGCUAUGCAACCGCCUAAAAGAGUGUGAUUAACAUUAAAUAACAGCGACAUGUGCCUCAAACUACUCUUUAAAUUGCUCUCGCUCACGAGCUGAUUAGUCACGAGUUGAAUAGAAGCGCGUGGGAAACACCGAGGAGCUCCGAAAACUGUCCGUCCGUUUUGUCCUACAAAGGCGCCGAGAGUUUGACAGCGGCAGGACCUCAGUGCGCAGGCCUGACGUUAGGUAAACUGCCGGAGGAGGACGGCAUCCAAAAGGACUCCAUGAGACAAUAAAGUCUGUCCUUUCUGCAGAGGGAAGCGAGUGAAAACAUGAGGAAGGACGUGAGGAUACUGCUUGUGGGGGAACCCAAGGUGGGGAAGACAUCACUGAUAAUGUCUCUGGUCAGUGAGGAGUUUCCUGAUGAGGUUCCUCUCCGAGCUGAAGAGAUCACCAUCCCAGCUGAUGUCACCCCGGAGAGGGUGCCCACACACAUCGUUGACUACUCAGAGGCAGAACAGUCAGAUGAGCAGCUGUACCAAGAAAUAUCAAAGGCAAAUGUUAUCUGCAUAGUUUAUUCAGUCAACAACAAGAAGUCCAUUGAAAAGGUGACGAGCCACUGGAUUCCUCUCAUCAAUGACAGAACGGACAAAGAUAGCAGGGUGCCAUUGAUCCUUGUGGGCAACAAGUCGGACCUGGUGGAACACAGCAGCAUGGAGACCAUCCUGCCAAUCAUGAAUCAAUACCAGGAUAUUGAGACUUGUGUGGAGUGCUCUGCCAAAAACCUGAAGAACAUCUCUGAGUUGUUCUACUACGCCCAGAAGGCUGUUCUCCACCCAACAGGACCCCUGUACUGCCCAGAGGAGAAGGAGCUGAAGCCCUCCUGCAUUAAGGCUUUAACUAGAAUCUUUAAAGUGUCUGACCUGGACAACGACGGCAUCCUUAAUGACAACGAGCUCAACUUCUUUCAGAGAACGUGUUUCAAUACACCGCUGGCGCCUCAGGCCUUAGAGGAUGUAAAGAAUGUUGUCAGGAGGAACAUGACCGAUGGAGUCAAGGACAACGGACUCACACUCAAAGGCUUCUUGUUCCUGCACACCCUCUUCAUACAGCGAGGCAGACAUGAGACCACCUGGACUGUGCUGAGGAGGUUCGGAUAUGACGAUGACCUGGAGCUCACACAGGAAUACCUGUUCCCCAUGAUAAAGAUCCCCCCAGACUGCACCACAGAGCUUAACCACAACGCAUACCUCUUCCUCCAGAGUGUCUUUGACAAACACGACAAAGACAGAGACUGUGCACUGUCGCCAGAGGAGGUGAAGGACUUGUUCAAAGUGUUUCCCUACAUGCCCUGGGGUCCGGAUGUGAACCACACGGUCUGUACCAACGAACAGGGAUGGAUCACAUACCAGGGCUACCUCUCCCAGUGGACGUUAACAACUUAUUUAGAUGUACAGCGUAGUUUGGAGUACUUAGGUUACCUUGGCUACUCUAUCAUCUAUGAACAGGAGUCCCAAGCUGCUGCCAUCACAGUGACACGGAACAAGCGCAUCGAUCUUCAGAAGAAACAGACCCAGCGCAGCGUCUUCCGCUGCAACGUCUUGGGGGCCCGGGGCAGCGGGAAGAGCGGCUUUCUUCAAGCUUUCCUGGGCAAGAACCUGCAGAAACAGAGGCGGAUCAGAGAAGACCACAAGUCCUUCUACGCCAUCAGCACGACCUAUGUUUAUGGUCAGGAGAAGUACCUGCUGCUCCAUGAGGUGAUGCCAGAUUUUGACUUCCUGUCAGAGGCGGAUCUAGCCUGUGACGUGGUCUGCCUGGUGUACGACGUCAACAACCCACGCUCUUUUGAAUACUGCGCCAAAGUGUACAAGCAAUACUUCAUAGAUAGCAAGACGCCAUGUGUGGUCAUCGCCGGCAAGUCGGACCUCCACGAAGUACGGCAGCACUACAGCCUCUCACCGCACGAGUUCUGCCGUAAACACAAGCUCCACCCGCCCCAGCCGUUCACAUGCAGUACGGUCGAGGCACCCAACAAAGACAUCUACACUAGACUCACCACCAUGGCCAUGUACCCCUCCAGCCAGCCCACCUGCUCUCUGUACAGUUUGACACAGCGAAGUGUGACCACGCUGUGCCAGCUAACACACAGGCUGCGAGCCAGGUGUUCAUACACAUGUUUUUGGCUGCCCCUCUUCCUCCUCCUCUUGCACGUGUUCACCCUCUGCUAAUCUUUCUGCUGUUAUGUUGCAUGGCUCACCUGUUCUCUACCUCUCUGGAUAACCAAAGACAUGCCUCGGUCCUGAGCUGGGAAGAGGUGUCUCAUCUGUACAUGUCGACAGUGAAGAGAGCUUGGUGUUUUGAAUAAGAUGGGGAAGGGGGUUUAGUGAAUGCAGGAUUUAAAUGGCUGUGGAUGGUGUUGGACUCGGCAGAGGUGUGUUGUUGUGUGUUUGCAGAUUUUUUCUAUAUUAGCCCAACGAAAUGUAGGGCUUCUGGUUGGGCGUUCAUGGACCUAGGCAGAGCCACAUACUGUAACGUUGCAUCUAGCAUUAACCCUUUGUCUUGAUACGUUUUUAAUCUCUGGGAGUUGCUGACACUAUUAAUAGCAUGACACUUAAUGGGCCAGCUCUGGCAGUGCAAGGGACAGACACACCACAUUGAAUUGAAUGCCCAGCGUGUUUUCCCAAAAGUGGGUUGGGCUGACUGGGUUAGAUGAUAUUGUUUUAAUUUUAUAUGGUAUGACAAUUUAAUCUAAGUCAUCAUGCAUAGUGUACAAUAUUAAAUUAACAUCUUAGGUCAUCAAAUUGCAAGCACUCAGUGUCAUUUCAGAGGGAAUAAACUAUUUUGAGUCUGCAAACGGAUCUAAAUUGCCAGUCAAAAGAAUUAAGUUAAACAUGCAAUGUUUGCAAAAUAUGUAAGGGCAUUAGCAAAAGAGAAAAGCAGAAGAAAAACUGACAGACUAAAUAAAAAUAAAAAUAAAAAUAAAUAAAUUUCCAAAGAAAUCGACACUGGACAGAAAGGGAAAUGACAUCUUCUAAAAUCUGUUUUCAUGUGGUGUGUACAGUCUGUAUGUGAUGUGUGUGUGUGUGUGUGUGUGUGUGUGUGGCUUUUUUGUCAGUGUUUAAAGUGUGCGGUGGCAUUUGACAAUGUAUGCCGUCAUAGUUGAGCUCGUGCUUCAAAGGUUUGGGUGGUGAUUCUAGUUCCUUACUUUGCGGUCUGGGUAGAGCUGGGUGAUAUGAAUUAAAUCAGACGUCGCUUUAUUUUCUAGCGCUAAUGUACAGUAAUUUUGAUGUAACUGUUGAUACUUAAAAAUACAUAAUCUGAACUAGUUAAAUGUCUCCUGCCUAAAAGAUUCAUAAAUAAUGUUUUUAUUAAAAAAAAAAAAAGAUAAAUAAUGUGGCCAAAAUAGUGAAUCAGUUGAAUCUCAUUCAAACAAAAUUAAGAUGAUAUGUAGCCUUAGAGCAAAGUGUCAGUUUUAUAUUUGAUGGUGUCUCCCUGCUCUGAGAUUGAAUAUUUAAAAUAAAUAAAUAAAUUCUAGUAUGUUUUUGACCUUGAUGUUCAUACUGAGAAUAUAUUUUAAAAUUAAAAUAUUUUUAUAGUUAUAUUAGAAUAUUAUUAAUUAUUUAAUUUGAUUAUUAAUUUAUUUUAAAUAUUUUAAAUAUUUUUUAAAAGGAGAAAAAAUAGUCUGUUACUUAUGUUGACAAAGAUAUAGUAAAAAAAAAAAUCAAGCGCAGGCAUUCAAAAAUUAUUUCAGCAGUCAUAUAAUUUCAGUGUAAAAAGGCAAAGACAACAUUUUAUACGUUAAAAUAUGACAAAUCUCACAUAGUAUGUUGUGUCACAUAAUGAUGUCAGUAUUAGAGCUAAUUUAUUGGUCAGUCCGAAGAAAAGAUCUGCAACAAUUUUGAUAAUUGUCUAAUUGUUCAAGUAAUUUUUUAUACAAAUAGAUAUGCAGAAAAUUCAGAUUUAAUCUUAAAUGUAAAUGCUGGUUUUCGUGUAGUCCGCCUUGAUAAUAAAAUAAAUAAAAUAUUUAUAGUGUUAAGACCUUUGGUUGGGUGAAAUAAAAAUGUUACCUCACGUUCUGAAAACUUUUCAUAUACUAAAUGAAUAAUUCUUUAAUCAAGAAAGUAACUGUCGGAUGAAGGGCAGAGUCAAUAUUAUAUUCAUAGUAUUAUAUUACAGUAUCUCCCAGCACUACCUAUUGUAUCUGAGUCUUUGUGUGUGAGCACGCACCAGUCAACCGUGUGACUGGGGGUGUGUGUGUGUGUGUGGAAGGCUGCUGGGCUGGGUGGAGGCUGUGGGGGUUUACCUGCUGUCAGAGGAGGAUUUCAGCCUGACGCAGCAGGUUUCACCCGUAUCCAACGUGGAGGGGUCCAUCUUUAUGGAGGCCUCUGCUGAGCAGCCAGUUCCCCCAGAAAGGCACAUGGCUCAGGCGGACCUGAAGAACUCAACCUUCUGGCUGAGAGCGAGUGUCGGUGCCACAGUGUUUGCCGUGCUGGGCUUCGCCAUGUACAGAGCACUUCUCAAACAGCGGUGAUCAGACAGCAUGAGAAAGCUACUUCCUCCACUCGGUCCCUCUGUUGACUCUGCCCCUCCCCUCCUACCUGAAAGACUCAAAAAGACUGGCUGACUAACCAACCGGGCCCAUUGCCUCAGCCCACCAACUCCACCUCAUCUCCUUCCCACAAUGCAACACGGGCGAGAAACAAAUGAGCAAAAUCAUAGGUACAUUUUAUAUGCAUUGAAAGUGUGGUUUAGUUUUUUUGUUUUUGUUGUUGGGAAAAGGGGAAGGUUACUUUUGAAAUCACUUGUCCAUCAUUCAAUUUGUAAAUGCUGACAUUCUGUGAUCUGUUGGUCUAGUCUAGUCCAGGUUAGACAUCAUAGAUAUAGAAACGUAGAUACCUCAUUGGCUGCUGGAUCAUGUCAACAUCGCCAACAUAUUAGUCCAGGCAGGCCUGGCCUGUAAACAAAUACAAGUAUACGGGGGAGCUGCAUUAUGUCUGGAUAAAAAAAAGCAUUAUGAUUCUGAUGAGUUGUUUUUAUAUUUAUGGGUUCAUGAUCUACGUAGGGGAAAAAAGUCUCCGGUUACUAAGAAUUUCAGUAGUUAGUCUAUAAUCAGUAUAAUCUGUGAAUGAAAUGACUCUGAUUGGCAGUUCAGCUCAGCACACGAGAAGAGAAACUGAAGUGAGGAAAGUAAACAAAGAGCUUAAGUCAAGAGAGCAUGAGAUCAAAACAAACAUACACAAGAUUAUUUUUCGUUAGCAGAAACGUUUCAUGAUGGUUUGUCUAACUGUUAGCUGACGCACGUCUCUCUGUUCUUUCAACAUUAGAUUUUGUUGUUAAUGUGCAAACUGGCGAACUUGCGUCAAGAUGGUCUUCCAGUUUUCCUUUUUGAAUGACGAAUACAGAUGACCACUGUCUGCCGGUGUGGAGAGUUAUUUCCUCUCACACAGGUGCGGAAUGUACGUGCUUGUUGUCCAUCGGCUGUAGUCUUUGCAGGGUAAUCAUGUGCAAUUUUUUGGCCGAGACAAAUGACGUGAGGUGACACAACAAUUCUUUGACGUGGGUUUGAUAUGUCUGGGCCUUAACGAUCGAUAAUUACCAAAUGAGCUGCACCACUACCUAGCUCCUACCAAAUCCGGCUGGUGCACAGUAUAGGCAACUGAAGAGUAGAAAAUUCACUUCAUUAUCUACUACAAUUACUACACGGUAACCAGUCAAAAUUAUUCUCAGCGGUCUCCCUCAUAGGGACGUCUCCACGAGUAUCAACCAAGAAAAAUAAGCUAAAUCCAUGCUUUAAAAAUAUGAGUUACAAUAAUUCCUUAUGAUGAUGAAUUGUGUUUUUCCACGGCACAAGUAAGUCAGGGUAGGCAGCACGGUGAUGCAGUGGUUUGCAUUGUCGCCUCACAGCCAGAGGGUUCCUGGUUCAAAUUCAAGGUGGGGGGGGGUGGUUGGUUCGAACUCCAGGGUUUGGGAGCCCUUCUGUGUGGAGUUUUCAUGUUCUCCCUGUGUCAGCGUGGGUUUUCUCUGGGUACUCUGGCUUCCUCCCACAGUCCAAAGACAUGCAGGUUAAUUGGUGACUCUAAAUUGACCGUAGGUGUGAAUGGUUGUCUGUCUCUAUGUGUCAGCCCUGUGAUAGUCUGGUGACCUGUUCAAGGUGUACCCUGCCUCUCACCCAACGUCAGCUGGGAAAGGCUCCAGCACCCCGCGACCCCCAACAGGAUAAGCGGUUACGGAAAAUGAAUGAACAAAUGAAGGAAUUCAGUUCAUGUAUGCCUCACACACACUCCUCUCUUGAGUGUCCAGCAGUGAUUAUAGGCAAACUAUCAAGAUUCUAAUUAACUAGAGACAAAAAAAAAAAUAAAAUAAAAUCAUGAAUAUAAGGUUAUAGUGCUUUUUAUCCAGAAAAACCGCAGCACCCCUGUUUACUUGUAUGUGAUAACAAGCAAGUCUUGCCUUGUCCAAUUUGCCGCCAACUUUGACGUAUCGCAGCAACAAACUGAUGCAGUCACAGCGUCUACGUAUAUAUGUCUAUGGUUAGACACUACUAGUCACUGGAUGUUCUCAGCUGAUCAAUCCUCUUUAUUUCUCAGGUCAGUAUUAUUAGCUAGAUGGUUGGAGACCAGAGAGAGGCAGCCAUAUACAGCAACACCACAAAGGGACUUGAAUCUGUCAUGUGUAUAUGCAGUAUAUUAUGUAUGUAUUCCUUAAGAAUUUUAGGAUUGGACUUCUAGACAGCAUCACAAGCCAGAUGCAACACCCACAGGAGGUGUUGGCGAUACAUCUAACACUAGAAAGGUCAUGAUUGGCAUGCACUUGUUUAUUUUUUUGUGUGUUAAUUUAUUAACCGGUUUCUUUGUUUUCUUGUCUGUUUCUUUUUUUUUUUUUUUUGAGUGCACCGCAUGAAACAGAUGGAGGGAUUUACAUUUUCCAUGUAUUUUUGUAUUUAGUAUUAUCAAAGCUGUCCUCCUGGCGUGUCUUGACUUUCUGCUUCUGUUUUUACUUCUCUGAUUUUCAAAUAGAGCUUCAUCCCUCAUGUUAUAUUUUUAUGAAGUUAGAGGCACCAUAGAAAAAGAGACUAUGCUAUUAACAACAGCCAUUCAGCGCACCUCUCCCACCUUAAAACUAUAAAAGUGUUUCUUCUCAUUCUUCUCUUUUUUUCCCAGCAUUUACAAUAAAGAAUUGUAUGAUCCGGCACAGCCAUGUACGUGCGUUUGAUGGGUGAAAUGACAGCUAAUUUAACAACAAUGAGGAAAAUAAAAUGGUUUUAAAUAUCUGUAAUAAAUGACAUUUA